UACGUAGGGUGCGAGCGUUAAUCGGAAUUACUGGGCGUAAAGCGUGCGCAGGCGGUUCGUUGUGUCGGUGGUGAAAGCCCCGGGCUUAACCUGGGAAUGGCCAUGGAAACUGGCGAACUGGAGUGUGGCAGAGGGGGGUGGAAUUCCGCGUGUAGCAGUGAAAUGCGUAGAGAUGCGGAGGAACACCGAUGGCGAAGGCAGCCCCUUGGGCUAGCACUGACGCUCAGGCACGAAAGCGUGGGGAGCAAACAGG
rnacentral:rRNA from 1 species